rnacentral:rRNA from 1 species
AUACGGAGGGGGCUAGCGUUGUUCGGAAUUACUGGGCGUAAAGCGCGCGUAGGCGGCUUAUCAAGUUAGGCGUGAAAGGCCUGGGCUCAACCCGGGAACUGCGCUUAAUACUGGUAGGCUUGAGUCCGGGAGAGGGUGGCGGAAUUCCCAGUGUAGAGGUGAAAUUCGUAGAUAUUGGGAAGAACACCAGUGGCGAAGGCGGCCACCUGGCCCGGUACUGACGCUGAGGUGCGAAAGCGUGGGGAGCAAACAGGAUUAGAUACCCCGGUAGUCC